CCGCCCCCUGGAUAAAGAACUGGCGGCCGAGCUGUCCCUCACUCCCAGGGCUGGGGCGGGCGGGGCAGUCCGAGGAUGCUGAGACAGCGACUCCCCCAGGCUGCCCCGGGUCAGGCUCCCUGGCCGAAGGACGGGGGGAGGGGGGAGGGGGCGGUCACUUGGCCCGGCCGGCUGGCAAGGUCCCCCGCCCGGGCCCCGGCAGGGUGUUGCGCACUCGCUGUCCUGGCCCCUCCCGGCCAUUGGCCGCCUCCCCGGGUGCUGGCCCGCCCGCCCGCCGGCGGCCACUGUCAAUAGCGGCUGCUGCAUGUUGUUUACAUGAAGGAUCCGGCGGGAGGAGUCUUCGAGGAGGGGCCGAGGAGGAGGAGCGGGGGGCAGGAGAAGGAAGACGCGAGUGAGUCCCCGCGGUCACCAGCGCGGCCACCAGCGCAGCCACCGCGGCCGGGGCCGCCGCGCAGCUGGGCUCGGCGCCAAGCAGAGGAGCCGGGAUCUCGCCCCGCACGCUUGGCCGGACCGACAGACGGACGGAGCGGACAGACUGGGCUGGGCCCCCGGGUCCGGCCGGAAUCACAGACCGGGAGCUCGAAGCGACCCCGAGGCCCCCGGCAGAAACUGGCUCCGGCACAGAGCUCCAGGCUAGGAAUCUUCCCGGUUUCCAACCUGACCUCAGAUCCUUCCUAGCUGUGUGACCCUGGGCAAGUCCCUUUACCGUGCCUGCCUCCAGUUCCUCCUCUGCAAGAUGAGCCGUAGAGGGAAAUGGAGCCGAUGCGGUCUGCCGGGAAACAAGUGAGCAACCGCGGGGAUAAAGCUCGGAGGGUGGGCGCCAGGCAGGCAGGACCGCCCCUGCCUUGGGAGCAUGCGCGGUAAGGCCCGGGAGAGCUCCGAGGCCCGAUUCCAGGCCAGCCAAGGCCGGAGCUGCUCCGUCUGGGCUGGGGGACCAGGGGCAGUCUCAGGUUUCAGUGGAAGAGAGAUGCCUUCCUGGUCAUUAGUGUUUGUUUUUAUCCUCCCCUUCAGUCUUAGUGGCCAUAUUGGCAAGAGCGUGGAAAGGGCUAGGCAGGGCGGGGUGAGGUGACUUGGCCAGGGUCACCCAGCUGGGAAGCAUCUGAGGUCACACUGGAAUACAGGACCUCCGUCUCCGGGCCGGCUCUCCAUCCGCAGAGCUGCCCGUCCUGGAUUCGUUAGGAAUCUAAGGCUGGGAGCCCGUGCCUCGGAAAGGAAGGUGGGAUUCACACAGAAACCACAGAAAGGGCCAGCCCGGAGUCACCCAGCGGUGGAGGGGAGCAUCCCCCUGGGCGGAGCCCCUCAGCCAGUGCCAGAAUGCUUCAUUCAUUUCCCUUUUUUCCUGCUCUAGGCUCUGCGCGCCCCUCCCCCAACAAAAGUGCAGACCCGCCCUGAGAGUCUGAGAGCUUCGGGGGAGCCCCCGGGCAGGCGCUGGGGGUCCACGUGGCCUGGCAGAAGAUGCACAAAGAAGCAGCCUGAGGAAAGGGAAGCUGAAAACUGCAGAGGGCCCCUGCCCUCCUCCUAAGGGGGAGGCCCUCUAAGCGGCCAUUCCCUCCAUUUCUGGGGCCCUUCCCCCGUCAGGCACCCUAGCAGCCGGCUGCUGCCCUUUUACCCAGCAGCCCCUUCUCUCCUGCAGGCAGCGAGCUCGGCGCGGGAUCCGGCGCUUGGCGCUUCCGGUGGCGGAGGCUGCGGCGGACAGGAUGACUGACAGGCUGCCCUGGCUCAGUUAUCACAGUGCUGAUGCUGUCCGUUCUCAAGGUACAGUACUGUGAUAACUGAAGGAUGGCAGCCAUCUUGCCUUCUCGCCCAUCCGCACGCGGCCAGUUGGAGGCAGGUGCCGAGACAGAGAAGAGGACAGUGUGCAGGUGAGUCUGGAGCAAGGGCUGCGGCAGCCAGCCAGCCAGCCGGCUUGUCCCGGGCCUCAGCCCCGGGGUCCCUCAGGUUCCCGGGGUAAGUGAUGGCGCCCCUUCCGUCCCCUCCCCUCCCCCAUCCCCAUAACCAUCCAUCCUUCCCAGCGGCUCAAUCCUAUCUCCAAGGCCCGGAUGGGAUGACUAUUCUUACUAAGCAGGUAAGGACCUUGGGGCAGGCCGGUUAAGAGACUUGCCCAGGGUCACACAUCUGGCGUCAGAUGUGGGAUUUGAACGCGGCUCUUCCUGACUCCCCCUCCAGGUCUCUUUCCCCAGCUUCACCUUGUCUCUCUGGAGCCACAGACAGGUGCCAGUGCUGUGGGUUCAGAGAGUCCCCACAUGGGGAGUUCUCUGAUGAAAACACCUUCCUGGAGGAUGGGGAGACGCGAGUGCGAGUGAUGGCGCUGCAGCAGUGGGUGCAUCCGGGGGGCUGUGAGCAGUGCUGGGGGGGGGUCACUGGGCUGGGGGGGUGACCCACAUCAGAGAAAGGUUUCCCUUAAAAUGAUGAAUGUGUUCCUGCAAGCUUGGGAGGACCAGGGUAGCAGCAACCUGGAAAAGUUGUGAUCAGGAUCAAAUGAGGUCCUAUUUGUCAAGUGCGUGGCACAGUGCUUGGCACAUAGCAGGUAUUCUCAUGAUGCUAGUGCGGGGGAAUCCCUUCAGAGUAGCAUCAACCUUAGAAUCAAUACUGAAUGUGGGCUCCAAGACAAGAGGGGUCUGGGCUAGGCCACGGGGCAUGGGACUUGUCUAGGGUCAUCCUGUGAGGCUAGCCUGGAAGCCAGGAUCACCUCCCAUCUCCAGGCUUGGCUCUAUUUGCUGAGCCACCCAGCGGCCCCUCGAACCCCUUCAUUUUACAGAAGGGGAAACUGAGUCCGGGGGAGGUGACGUGAUUUGCUCCGUGUCACCCAGAUAAGUGAGGUUGGAGCCUCCGGCCUCAGAUGACUUUGCUUCCCCUGAACAAGCCGAUCCGUGAGGGGUCCCUGUGUCCGACGACAGGUUGAAUCGUACCUGGACCACUUUGACUGACUUCUGAGGAUCAGAUAUUCCAAAGGGACAGAAACUGAGAGCUGGGCUGGACGGGGCCUCCCAAGAAGGCCUCUCUGGCCCCGGGAGCAGAUGGUGGAAGGACGUGGACGCUCUCCCUGCCCAAGGAUGCCCACCGCCGGUCAGAGAAACGUGAAAGAAACCCGGCACGGUGGAUGGAGUUUGGGGCUGGAAUCUGAAGGGCUUCCCUUCCCCCAGCCGCAGACUCUCCAAGAUCUGUAAACGUGGGACAGUAAUUCAGGAUCUCCGUCAGUGCCCACGAUGGCUCUCCUUUAUGGGGGUGGCCGCUUCCCAGAGGUCUGCUGUUCCAGGUGGCCACUUGUAUGCUCAGCGGCUCGGCCAUUCCUAAGGGCAGUGUUGAGGGACUCCUGUGUGCCAAGCGUUGGCUUUGCUUUGGCUUGGGGGAGCCCCUCCCUGCUGAGAUGAGGCCUUUGGGCAAACGACCCCCCACCGGGUCCUUGCCAGCUCUCCCUAGUCGGUGCUCUUCUCCCAGACAUGUCUGCCAUGUUCUUGGCCCCUUGAUCCACUGCAGAAGCCUCGGCCCCAUUUCCUGUCUAAGCCCAGCAGAGCUGAGAAUUCCUUCUUGAAUGUUCCAGCCAAGUCGCCCUCUAUGUGGUGGCUCUGCCCCUAUUCGUGAGAUCAGAGCCUCGGGAUGGAGGACAUGGAAAUGUACCCGGAUGCCUUAAAGAGAAAAUGACUUACGGCCUUGAUUUCUCGAAGGAUUCUAAAUAACGGAGGCGUUUCGUAGCCUAAAAAGAAUAGCUCGCCUUUGGGGGACCCUUUACGGUUUGAGGCUCUGGAUAGAUGCCAGGCCUGGAGCCAAGAAGUCUCAUGUUCUGAGUUCAAAUAUGGCCCCACACAGACGAACAGGGUGACUUUGGGCAAGUCCCUUAACCCGCUGGCCUCAGCUGCCUCCUCUGUAAAAUGAGCUGGAGAAGGAAAUGGCGAACCCCUCCAAUAUCUGUCCCAGGAAAACCCCAAGUGUGAGGAUUAAAAUUAAUAUGUAAUAACUCAAGUAUUAUAUUUAUAAGAUUUAUUAAAAUAAAAAGGAGCUAACUGUGGUCACAAUAGAAGAGAGAGAGAGAGAGGUUACAGAAACAUAAAGGGAAAAGGAUGCUGGGAAAUACUAAAGGAAUUCUGGGGAACAUAGUUCAGAGGUACAAAAUUUCCACUUACACACAAGACAGGGUCAUGAAGACUCAGCCAUGACUGAAAAGAUCGGACAACAGAAAGGCUGGCAAAACCCUUGUUAUCCACAUCUCUCGACCCUCUCGGCUACGCCUACAGAUGCUGCUCUCCUCAGGUUACAGAUGGGGAACCCGAGUCUCAGACACAUCAUGUCUCAUCCAUGGUCACUGAUAAGUAUCAAAGGCAGAAUUGGAACCCAGAUCUUCCUAAAGUGCGCACAAACAUCACCCCUUCAUUUGGCAUCUCCUGAUGCCUGUCACUCUGACUCCAGUUCUUCCGGUGCUCAGUGCUGUGUCUGGCACAUAGUGGGGGCUUUUUGAUGAAAAUGCUCUCUGAAUGACUCCAGUCCAGGGAAGCCUUUGCUCUUCUCCCCCAUCCCUCCCUAAUUACCCCAGAUCUAUCUGCUGCGGAUUCCUACAUAGUGUCCAUCCCCCCACGCAGGGGGCUUGCUGGCCCACCAGAGGCACCUGCCAGUGGAUGGGAAGACGUCGUCCUUGGCCAGAAUGCUUGGCAGCGCCUUCGCUGCGGUGCUGGUCCCACCUUCUGGGGGCCUCCCGGACCCUUGGGUGAGCCGUGCGAAGCCAGUGCCAGAGCCAGGGGCGGGAGCCAAUUCCCAACCAUCCCUGGACUCCUUCCAUCCCGCGCCAGAGCCACGGGCUCCCAUUUCCUGUAAACAGCCCCAAAGGCCAGGCCUGGGUCUGGGGAAGGAGCACAGGAAGACGUGCCCAGACCUGGAAGCUCCUGGAGUCCUCAGGGGAGCUGGAGAGGCGGGAAAGUGAGUCACUUCGGAAGAAUCUGCCCUCUGCCCUUCUCGGCUUGGUGUGAAGUGAGAGAGGCACAUCUGGCGGGGGGUUCUGCAUGCUGGGGAGGGGACUUUGGGCUUUGGGGUUCCUGUUUUGUCUGGGCGUUGACUUGGUCGGUAAGGACACAGCAGAGGGUAGUGGAUGGAGGGCCAGCUCCUAGGCCAAGGAGACUUGAGUUCGAGUCUAGCCUUUAAUAAGCUAGCUGCAUGACUCUGGGCCAGUCGGUGCCUUCAGGAAUCUCUAAGACUAAAUUCAUUUUCAUCAUAAUUAUAAGUACCGUCUAUGCACCAGGCAGCCCAGCUCUUCGUGACCCCAUUUGGGGUUUGCUUGACAGACACUGGAGCGUUUUGCCAUUUCCUUCUGCAGCUCAUUUUCCCGAUGAGGAAACUGAGGCCAACAGGGUGAAGUGAGUUGCCCAGGGUCACACAGCCAGAGUGUCUGAAGUCAGGUUUGACUUUGGGAAGAUCCUGACUCCAGACCCUGCUCUCUGCGCCAUGGUGCCAUCUGGUUGCCCUGAAGCACCAUUCUAGGUUGUGGCCACGUUAGGGGAAUCCAAAGAACAAAAGGAGCAGCCUGUCUGCCAGUUGGAUAGCUCAGUGCAUGGAGAGCCAGUCCUAGAGAAGGGAGGCCCUGGGUUCAAAUCUAGCCUCAGACACUUCCCAGCUGUGUGACCCUGGGCAAGUCACUUAAUCCCCAUUGCCUAGCCCUUUCCAUUGUUCUGCCUUGGAACCAAUACAUAGUAUUGAUUCCAAGGUGGAAGGUAAGGGUUUAAAAAAAAAUGACUUGAACCUCUUUAAUUCCUAUUCAAGCCUAUCAUUCCUAAAUAAAAUGAACUCAUAUCAAGACUGUAUAUAAAAGGAUUGAGAGCCAGGCCUAGAGACUAGAGGUCCUGGGUUCAAAUCUAGCCUCAGACACUUCUCAGCUGUGUGACCCUGGACAAGUCACUUGACCCCUGUUGCCUAGCCCUUGCCACUCUUCUGCGUUGGAACCAAUACACAGUAUUGAUUCCAAGACGGAAGGUAAGGGUUUUAAAAAGUUCACAUGUCAUGUCAAGUGUUCAUUAUUUUUAUUAUUUUUUAUGGAUUCUCUCCAUCAUAUCUGCAAAGGAUCUUAAAUUUUCUUUCUUUCUUGCCCGCUCUCAUUCCUUCGAUUUCUCUUUCUGUUCUUCUUGCCGUGGCCAGCAUUUCUAUUACAGCUUUUAAAAGUGGCGAUACGAGUGCCCUUGCUUUACCCCAAUCGUACUGGGAAGGAUUUUAGGUUGUGUGGCCAGGAAACACUCUGUGGAGCCCAAGAAGCACCCACAGAGCUGCUGUGGGCCAGCCAUUGGACGUGCUCUGCUUGGCCCCAGAGCCCAGAGUAGGGGCAGCAGGUGGAUAUUGAGGAAAAGCCUGCGGCCUAGUAGAACUGCCUGGAAAGGAAUGGCCUGCCUGGCCCGCCUUCUGGCAGCCGUUUUCAAGCAUGGGCUGGAUGGCAACUUGUGGGAGUGUGUAGACAGGGUUCCCCGUCCAUCCCGAAGGGAUCGACCCGGAUGGCUGCUGAGAUGCCGGCGACUCACAAUUCCUGGAAUUCCUUUUUGUUCCUUGCUUCUCUUUUGUUGAAUUUUAGAUCAUUUUUUUCUACAGGAUCCUGAAGAAAGAUUUCUCUCUUCCUUACUCCCACCAGUAUUGCUUUACAUAAAUAUAUAUUUACUUUAAAAUAUACACACACAUUUUUAGAAACAUGAAGUAAAUGGGAUUAAUGGAAAUUAAAUACAAAAAGUACCCACGUGUACUCAGCUGCAUGUACACGGAGAUGCGCUCAUCUUUUUCUCUUCUUUGUAUAUAACCCUGCCCAUAGUUUGUGUUUAUUUCAAUUAGAAUAAAAUGUUUAUAGUUAAA